rnacentral:rRNA from 1 species
UCUGUUCAGACCUGGUUGGUGA